rnacentral:rRNA from 1 species
GACGAACGCUGGCGGCGUGCUUAACACAUGCAAGUCGAACGGACAGGCCCUGCUUUUGUGGGGUGCUCGAGUGGCGCACGGGUGAGUAACACGUGAGUAACCUGCCCUUGACUUUGGGAUAACUUCAGGAAACUGGGGCUAAUACCGGAUAGGAGCUCCUGCUGCAUGGUGGGGGUUGGAAAGUUUCGGCGGUUGGGGAUGGACUCGCGGCUUAUCAGCUUGUUGGUGGGGUAGUGGCUUACCAAGGCUUUGACGGGUAGCCGGCCUGAGAGGGUGACCGGCCACAUUGGGACUGAGAGACGGCCCAGACUCCUACGGGAGGCAGCAGUGGGGAAUAUUGCACAAUGGGCGGAAGCCUGAUGCAGCAACGCCGCGUGCGGGAUGACGGCCUUCGGGCUGUAAACCGCUUUCGCCUGUGACGAAGAGUGAGUGACGGUAAUGGGUAAAGAAGCACCGGCUAACUACGUG